UGGCUCACUUGGUAGAGCAUGGCACUUGCAAUGCCAGGGUUGUGGGUUUGAUUCCCAU
rnacentral:tRNA from 1 species